AAAAGUGCUCCGAACAGCUUUUCUCCAUCAAAAAGGAAAGGUAGCUACUUAAACACAUGACAGCAAUAACAGACAGUGCCACAUGCACACGUCCCAUAAUUCUGUGAACUCACCUCUCUUCCUGACCUAAUAGCUUCCAUUUACCGCUGGGCCCGUUCCAAGGGAAAGUGUAGAGCCCGGCCAAAAUCUGCGGACAGCUACUGAUGAGAUCGGCCGAGUCCAAAAAUGUGAGCGCAAUAAAACAACGGCAUGAGGAAAAGCUGGACGUCCUCCUGGGCCGCAUUAGCGAGAUUUAAAUGUGGAUGUGCAGUGGAUUGUGGGAGAUUUGCAAUGUCAACACAAACAAUCUUCUGCCAAGACUUCUUACAGGGU
rnacentral:lncRNA from 1 species